UGACCCCCAAUUAGAAGAUCAAGAAGUCAUCAAACGAAAAAAGAGAUUUUAACAAGAAGGGGAGGGGAUACAGGCAAAGGAAAUAGGUCAGAUUUUAAGGAAAAACUACUGUUACCCUUCUCAAGAAGAAACCUAAUCUCGUUCGAGUUCUCGGAACAAAAGGUAGAAGAAACUCUUGAAAAAAGAUCUAAAAUCAAGAAAUAAUCAGAUUCCGCUUUAAUAGAAUAAAACCCUAGAUAUCUUACCAAAUUCCGUGCGGCCGGAAGAAAGAGAGAAUGGAGUUCUCGCCACCGAUCGAAGCAAGGAAGUAAAAAAGCCGGAGAAGAGACGACGUCAAGACGAAGAGGGGACUAGUCGGUGACCCACGGACGUAUUAUGGGAAUAGAGGGGGUACUUAUAGAGGCGGCUAUGGCGGUUUGGAGUUUUGAGCUAACCAGGA
rnacentral:lncRNA from 1 species